rnacentral:rRNA from 1 species
CUUGGUCAUUUAGAGGAAGUAAAAGUCGUAACAAGGUCUCCGUUGGUGAACCAGCGGAGGGAUCAUUAUCGAGUUAUUCAACUCCCAAACCCUAUGUGAACUUACCACUUGUUGCUUCGGCGCGCGCUUCGGCGCCGCCGAGGACACUUAAACUCUUUGUUUUUAUAAGCAUUUCUGAGUGGCCGAAAGGCAAAAAUACAAAUGAAUCAAAACUUUCAACAACGGAUCUCUUGGUUCUGGCAUCGAUGAAGAACGCAGCGAAAUGCGAUAAGUAAUGUGAAUUGCAGAAUUCAGUGAAUCAUCGAAUCUUUGAACGCACAUUGCGCCCGCCAGCAUUCUGGCGGGCAUGCCUGUUCGAGCGUCAUUUCAACCCUCGAGCCCGACUCUUUUGAGGACGGCUCGGCGUUGGGGGACGGCAGACUCCCCCCGGCAUCUCGCCGGGGACGCCGCCCCCGAAAUCUAGUGGCGGCCCUCCGAGGCGACCUCUGCGUAGUAACUUGUUCUCGCACCGGAAAGCUCAGAGCGGCCACGCCGUAAAACCCCAACUUUUUUCAGGUUGACCUCGAAUCAGGUAGGACUAC